GUGCGCGUGCUGCAGCUCGUACUGACUAGUAGCGACAAACCUAACAAAUAUUACGGCAAAUGAAAUACUUUGGUGUACGGCAGAGGUGCAGAGUUUGCUGGAAAUUUUGACGGACUACAGUAUCCAGGAACAACUAGAUGCAAAACACAAGAAGUCCGAGAUAUUUGUUAAAAUACGGGGCUACCUUCUUAUAUGUGCAGCACGAUUCAAUUGUAUUCGCUUAGUUGCUUACUGGAUAAAUCUAUGAGGGCUGUGUGUCAAUGCACGCAAGACAACCCCAGAUAAAUCGCAAAAUAAGGACAAUCAUGAACUCCGAUAUUCUGUGCAGUAGUGCUGUUCUUCAACACAAAAGACAACGCAUGAAACAGAAAAGCACAACACAGAAAGUAGCACGGUGAUAACGAAAGCGUGUUCAGGCCUGAAACUUUAAGUGCAAUGUGUGCGCUGAUCUGAGAGGCAGUCAUACUAAGCCACAGUGAGUACACCCACAGAGGCGAUCCUACUGGGCCUCUUGUUUUCGUAUUGAUCCACAGAAAUUAAAAGGACCUAAUGCAGUGGCACUUUAAAAACUGUAUAAUGCAUAAUAAGGACUGAAACAAAGGCCUGAGGAUAGACCCUCUGUAUGCAGCACAGUCUCACCUCAAGUAACUGAAAAUAUGUCAGCUACUUUAUACUCGUGCAUAAGAGAAAUAUGCAGGGCUGCCAAUUCUAACGUAUGUGACGUGACACACGCUCUCUGACUCGCACUCAUGCCAGAGAUCUUUCUUUUUAUUGUUUUUUUUACUUUUUUUUAAUUAUGCAUGCAAGAGAUCUUAAGAUAAGUCUAUAUUAUUCCAUUAUGAACCUAAAAUUUGCGGCAUCAAAAGUGCUGUGGUAGUUUCAAACCAUACUGACUACAACUAAUGAAGCUACCCUGUGAGCUAAAAUGAUACUUUGUAAAGACCAACUAUCAGUUAUUUUAUGUUGCUAAAAUAAGAUUUCAAAUAUUCUUAAAAUAUCUGUUCCUGUAAACAACAGAACAAAGACAACAUCAACAAUGUUUUCCUUUUAACUGAUAAGAAAUACACAGAAAAUGCAUCAGUGGACAAACACACAUCGUAAAGAUUAUAACCUCUGACAGUAUGUACUGGCCCUCACUGUUUUCUGCAGUGUCUCUCCCUCUCAGCUCUUCAUUUCACACUUUAUUUUUGUAUCUGCAGAAAAUAGCUGUGAGUCACAUGAAUGACACAGGAAACCAAGCAAACUGACUUAAAUUUCUUAAAUAUUCCCCCUGCACUUGCAUGUUCGCCCCAUGUCGGUGUGGGGUUUCCUCUGGGUUCUCCUGUUUCACCCCACAGUCCAAAAACAUGCUGAGAAACGACAGAGACAGUGACGGUACAGAGGAUGAGGAAGUGAGUGUCAGUCUCCACAGAUCUGGGCUCAGUGACACACACACGUAUGGAUCCUCUGAUGCUCCUGUUUCUUCUCAUUGCUGGGCUCACAGGUGCUGACAGUGUGUCCACAGUUGGAUGGGUGACUGUACAGAGAGGAGGAUCUGUCACCAUCCCAUGUUUCUGUGAUGACAGAUAUAAAACUCAUGUGAAAUACUGGUGCAGAGGGUUUAAUGUAAGUUCAUGUACACCCAUAGUACACACUGACUCUCCACAGGAGGGUAAAGUGUCAGUCAGAGAUGAUCCUGACCAGCGAGUCUUCACUGUGACCAUCAACAAUCUGACAGCUGAGGACUCUGAUAGGUACUGGUGUGGUGUGAAGCAUAGUGGAGCCUCAGAUGUUGGAGAUCGGGUUAACCUGUCAGUCAUUGAUGGUCCUCCAGGGCUGUCAGUGGAGAAACAGGAGGUGACGGGUGUGGAUGGAGACAGUGUCAGUGUUCAGUGUUACUAUGGAAACAACAGAAGACAUAGGAUGUGGUGUAAGAUUGGGGGCUGCUGUGCAUCAGAGAGAUCAGUGAGUUUGGAUGGGAGGCCUGUCCUGAUCAGGGAUGACACAGUAAAUAAAGUCUUCAGUGUGACAAUGAGUGGGCUGGAGAGGAAGGACACUGGCUGGUAUUGGUGUGCUGCUGGAAUCCUGCAGAUCCCAGUUCAUAUUACUGUUAGACCUAACCCGCACGAUCACCUGCCUGCACCACCCCGAUCGUGACAGAAUGACAGACCGUAAGAAAAGGAGGAAGCAGAGGAGAAGGAAGCACCUGGAGGAGCCGAUCAGUCUGGGCGCCUGCUCCCUCGCCAACCCCUGGCCUCUCACGGAGGGCGAGAGAGAGGAGCUCGUCCUGGGCUCUGACCCAGAACCGCUCUAUCUGGGAGCCUACUCCCUAGCGAGGCUCUGGGCUCCCAGCGACGACGACGAGGAUGAGCCCUUCACGUUCCCUGUGCUGGAGCCUAUCCCCCCAGAGCAGCUACCGCCCCUGGACCGGUACAGUUACCGGCCCGAACGACUGGCAAAUUGGGGAGGUUUUAGGGCUGUAAGGGACUCGAUCCCCCGAGUGCCCCGGGUCCCGAAGAGGAUCGCACCCGUCUCCCCCUCCCAGGACUUGCCAGUUCUGCCUGCGCUGUCAGCGCAGCUCCCGCCUCUGCAACCUGCGUAGCCGGAGCAGCCAUCACCGCUGUCCGCUACGUCUGCGCAGCUUCCUCCACCUGCGGCUUGCGAGUCUGAGCAGCCGCCGCUGCCUGCGGACCCCGCUCCCGUGCAGCCGCCGCUGCCUGCGGAGACCACGCCCACGCCCGAGGCGCCCUCUCUGCCGCUCCUACAGCCUGCAGCUCCCGGGCAGGCACCCCCCCUGCAGCAACCUGCAGCUUCCGGGCAGGCGCCCCCCCUGCAGCAACCUGCAGCUUCCGGGCAGGCGCCCCUUCCACUGCCUGCCCUAGUGACUUUGCCCCCAUUCCCCUCAUUCUCUGCCUCUGUCCCUCCUUCCUUUUGUUCCUCCUGUUCCCGCUAUGUCCCCUUUCCUGCUUUGUCUUUCUGCCUUCCCUGUCCUUUGUCAGCUCCUGUCUCACGUCCUGUCUCUUGCCCUGUUUUGUGCAUCGGUCCUGUUUCCCGUCUCUCGUUGAUGGUUCUGUUUCUUUUGCUCCAGGUCCCGGUUCCCGUGUCCCGUCUGUCGCCUCCUCCCUGGCACGCCCGGUGAAGCGCGCCUUUGGAGGGGGGGUUCUGUCAUGACCUGCUCGUCGGCUCCUCAUGUGUGCCACGCCCCCUGCUUACCCACGUGUUCUUUCCCGAUCGUACCCAGCUGCCUGCCUGCACCACCCCGAUCGUGACAGAUACUUUACCCAACACCCGAGGCCUGCAGCGGGGCGUCCGGGCCUAUGCCAGAGCCCCAGAGCUGUGGUGCUAGAGAUCGACUUUUAUUUAAAUUAGAAAUAUAUUAUUUUAUACUAUUCACAAACAAGACAGAUUAAUAAAUAGAGGUAAUGUGCUUUCUGCCAGGAUGGGACUGCUGGCUGUCUGCUUCUUACAUCCAGGACCAGCGGUUAAACGAGAUAUUACAGUCACUCUGCAGUCACCCUGCAACAAUUUGUCAACCGGCGGCCAUUUGUUUCAUUGUUUGCUUCCUUCUCAUGGGCUUAUCGCUCACGACUCCAAAAGCUCUUGUGCUGACGCCCCGUUACCCACUGUCGCGGACAUUAGCUGACCGACAUGCCUAGACAUGCAAUACGCAUAAAUCCCCACCCCAAAACAGGAUGGCUGUGUUUUACCGAUAUAAAAUAGUACAUUUUGUUUAAAGCUACAAUAAAUAUAUUAUAAUAUUUUCAUAAAAUAAUUAAUCUCACCUGUUCACUAUCAGUGCCCUGGGAUAUUAACACUUUGGUCAUGACACUAAUUCAUUGUUCUCCAUCUAAUCAUUUUCUCUGUAGAAUAUCUUUCAUAAUUUAUAUUUAUGUUUCAAGAGUGACCUUUUCUUAGUCUUUAUUAACAGAAAAUUGCUUUUUAUUAACAAUCCUUUCUCCUGUUUCCACUGCUCUCCUUUUCUCUGCACAUGAUGAAGAAGGAGGGGAUAAUGAAAAACGGAGGUAAGCAUUCAGCAGCAUUUACAGUAGUGUGGGGGUCCUGCUAGCAGCAUUUACCUGAUCACACAGUGAUGGGAAACUGUCAUUUUAAUUUUAAGAAAAAAAGAUAUUGUUUUUUAUUUCAUUUUCUUAAUAAUAAACUUGAGAUCCCAUCCCAUCCAGGGUGAGCCCUUGCCUUGUGCCCUGUGCUGCUGGGGAACGACUGCAGGCCUGUUUUUACAAAAUAGUGUAACAUGUUGUGUGAUAAUCUCUAGCUAUUUUCAUGCUCUUUGUUAAUGUCUCCUGUUCCUCACAUGUGUCCUGUGUAAUAGUACAGAUGUGGCUGUACCGUGUUUCUAUAAAGCAUGUAAGACUUUACUGUUCACAUCCACCCUCUUAUUCAGCUCUUUGGUCCAGCUGGCUCUGUAUGUAGGACUGAGCUUAUUGGUGCUGCUGUUGGUCAUCAUCAUCACAUGGAAAGUGCGGGACAAACACAACCUCUGAGGAGCCUGGUGCUGAUGUCACCUACAGCUCCAUUGUCCUGCCAGAGCAGGUGUCCUCAGGAUGUUCUUCACACUGUCCUGCUGUAACCCAGCCAGCGACGUGAUCUACAGCUCAGUCACCCUGAAGCACAGAGAGGGGGCAGCAACUGAGGCACUGCUCUACAUGUGGGGAGCUGCUGCCCAGGAUGAGAGGGACACGCAGAUACUCCAGUGAUGGGGAGGGAUCAUCGCCAUGGAGGAGAAUCUUACAGUGAUGUGAGCUGUAUUUAAAUGGCAUGCAGCAAUGUCAUGUUACAGUGUGACAGUAAGAAUCAGCCAGUGAGAAACAGACAUUCGUGGCUGUUGUGCAUUUUUACCGUGAUCAAGACGCCAUUUGCUGCACUUGUACGUCGCUUUGGAGAAAAACUUUUGCUAAAUAAGAUAAAUGUAAAUGUGAGGUUUUAUUCUGGCGGUCUGCGAAAUGUCACUUUUAUAUUAAUGGAGAAAAUAUCA